CUUCCGUAGGGGAACCUGCGGAGGGAUCAUUACCGAGUUUACAACUCCCAAACCCCUGUGAACAUACCACUUGUUGCCUCGGCGGAUCAGCCCGCUCCCGGUAAAACGGGACGGCCCGCCAGAGGACCCCUAAACUCUGUUUCUAUAUGUAACUUUUGAGUAAAACCAUAAAUAAAUCAAAACUUUCAACAACGGAUCUCUUGGUUCUGGCAUCGAUGAAGAACGCAGCAAAAUGCGAUAAGUAAUGUGAAUUGCAGAAUUCAGUGAAUCAUCGAAUCUUUGAACGCACAUUGCGCCCGCCAGUAUUCUGGCGGGCAUGCCUGUUCGAGCGUCAUUUCAACCCUCAAGCACAGCUUGGUGUUGGGACUCGCGUUAAUUCGCGUUCCUCAAAUUGAUUGGCGGUCACGUCGAGCUUCCAUAGCGUAGUAGUAAAACCCUCGUUACUGGUAAUCGUCGCGGCCACGCCGUUAAACCCCAACUUCUGAAUGUUGACCUCGGAUCAGGUAGGAAUACCCGCUGAACUUAAGCAUAUCAAUAAGCGGAGGAA
rnacentral:rRNA from 1 species